rnacentral:lncRNA from 10 species
GGAAAGUAGUAAUUUUCUCUGACCUCAGCAAAAUGUUUGAAACAGAAGAGACAAUUUGUGGUCUUUCUUCUAUUAUGAAAGUAAAAUGUACUUAUAACAGACCAUAUGGCAAAUGUAGAAAAUGAAAGAGAAAAAUCACCCAUAUGUCUAAAAGAAGAGACACACUCUAUUGUAGAGAAAGUCUCUAAUGUGGUGAACAUACCAUAUAUUCUUUCAUGUAUGCUGGGCUUUUCAUGUAAUACUAAACAUAGGGAAAGUAUUUCUUUCUGUUUUGAUUUUGUUUUUUUCUUCACACAUAGCCUUUACCUCUGGCCUUGUGAAUCCUUCCAUGAGUACUGAGAACUACUGGAGGUCCACACAGCUGACAAGUCAUCACACCAAGUGUGCGCAUAUCCCUCUCAGUUUAUUUAUAAUAAAGCAUCACAUAUUUAGAAAGAAACCGGUUGAAAAAGAAGGAAAUGAAUAUUCAUUUGUUCCUGAAUGAAGGUGAAAGUUUGGGUAAUAUUUUUUUCUUACUUUUUGAUUUUGUAUAUGAUUGAUCUAAUUGAAAAGUAUUCUAGUAGAUCUUUGCCUUAGUGACAGCAAUGGUUGAAAGUCUUUUUUUUUUUUUUUUUUUUUUUGAGACGGAGUUUCACUCUGCUGCCCAAGCUGGAGUGCAGACGUGCAAUCUCGGCUC